rnacentral:rRNA from 1 species
AGUAACGGCGAGUGAAGCGGCAACAGCUCAAAUUUGAAAUCUGGCCCCCAGGGCCCGAGUUGUAAUUUGCAGAGGAUGCUUUUGGCGACGCGCCUUCCGAGUUCCCUGGAACGGGACGCCAUAGAGGGUGAGAGCCCCGUCUGGUUGGACGCCGAGCCUCUGUAAAGCUCCUUCGACGAGUCGAGUAGUUUGGGAAUGCUGCUCUAAAUGGGAGGUAUAUGUCUUCUAAAGCUAAAUACCGGCCAGAGACCGAUAGCGCACAAGUAGAGUGAUCGAAAGAUGAAAAGCACUUUGAAAAGAGGGUUAAAUAGUACGUGAAAUUGUUGAAAGGGAAGCGCUCACGACCAGACUUGAGCCCGGUGAAUCACCCAGCGUUCUCGCUGGUGCACUUCGCCGGGCCCAGGCCAGCAUCGGUUCGCCGCGGGGGAGAAAGGCGUCGGGAACGUGGCUCCCUCGGGAGUGUUAUAGCCCGUCGCACAAUACCCUGGGGCGGACCGAGGUUCGCGCAUCUGCAAGGAUGCUGGCGUAAUGGUCGUCAGCGACCCGUCUUGAAACACGGACCAAGGAGUCGUCUUCGUAUGCGAGUGUUCGGGUGUAAAACCCCUACGCGUAAUGAAAGUGAACGCAGGUGAGAGCUUCGGCGCAUCAUCGACCGAUCCUGAUGUUCU